rnacentral:lncRNA from 1 species
AGCUUUAGACAAGACUAAAAAUAUCAAAAGUAGCACUCUGCAAUUUUAUGUGCAUGUGGCUUGAAGCUCUGACAACAACACAAAAGAGCUACCUACUGAAAUAUUUACAAGUGAAAUGAUGUGAGAUGUGGGAUUUGAUUCAAAAUGAUCCUUUAUGUAUGAAGAGUGGGGCGUGGAGAAUGCAUGAAGAUACAGAUAAAAUAAACGUGUCUAUGGGUUAAUACAUGCUGUAGCUGGGUACAUGGUGGUUUAUUAUGCUAUUCUUUCUAGUUUUGUGUGCAUCUGAAAUUUUCCAUAAUAAAUACUUUUUAGAAAACUCAUGAACCGUUCUGAUUCCUGGAGAUGCC